CCUACGGGAGGCUGCAGUGGGGAAUAUUGCACAAUGGGGGAAACCCUGAUGCAGCGACGCCGCGUGAGUGAAGAAGUCUUUCGGUAUGUAAAGCUCUAUCAGCAGGGAAGAAAAUGACGGUACCUGACUAAGAAGCCCCGGCUAACUACGUGCCAGCAGCCGCGGGAAUACGUAGGGGGCAAGCGUUAUCCGGAUUUACUGGGUGUAAAGGGAGCGCAGACGGCUGUGCAAGUCUGGAGUGAAAGGCGGGGGCCCAACCCCCGGACUGCUCUGGAAACUGUAAAGCUGGAGUGCAGGAGAGGUAAGCGGAAUUCCUAGUGUAGCGGUGAAAUGCGUAGAUAUUAGGAGGAACACCAGUGGCGAAGGCGGCUUACUGGACUGCAACUGACGUUGAGGCUCGAAAGCGUGGGGAGCAAACAGGAUUAGAUACCCGAGUAGUC
rnacentral:rRNA from 1 species